CUUUGAGUUGCUCUGAUUGUGUUAUAGUGAUGGUAGAACAAGGUGUGAAUGGUGCCAUUACUGUGAAAUCAGGAGCACCCUAGUGCAUAGUGAUAACUGAUGCACUUAGGUUUUCAUGGCAACAGUGACAGAUAGGUGUGUAAACCAGAGAAAAACAUCACCGCAUACUGAAGCCCCCAGACCACCGUGGACCAAGAUCCCCCUUUCAGGCAUGAGGCACAUAUCAGAGGGG